UGACACGAGUGGAAAUACAAAUAAUCCGGACUUAACUAUUACAGAAAGUAGUAUCCAAAAGAAAAUGAGGAUUCACAGAAUCACAGAAUUGCAGGGGAUGGAAGGGACCGCAAGAGAUCAUCGAGUUCAACUCCUCUGCUAGAGCAAGUAUCCUAAAAUAGGUUGCACAGUAAAAACUAUCAAGCAUUGUAACCACCUCCCCAGUAGAGUCUGGAAUCUGCAUUACUGGAGGUUUUCAAGAUGCAACUGGACUGGGUAUUGAAGAAUCUCAUCAAGGUUUCUAUUUCCAUAAAAGGCUGGAGAUGAUUUUCACCUGGCAUGUUCCAUGAUUCUCUGUGACUAUAGAAAUGGAAAUUUUAAACACAACUUAAUGCCUCUCUCUCUCUCUAAUUCUUUGCUGGUAUAACUGACUCCUUCUGCAUGCCUGGGAGCAAAUGUACUUCUGUGGGGUCAGCACCACUAGAGUAAAUCCAAGUAGACUAAGUAUUCUUCAAGGAAAGGAAUUUGCUUUAAUAAAAAAGACUGAAAGCAUCAGGACACAAAUUUUGCUGUCAAAAAGACUCUUCAUAAACAAGAAAAGAAAAAAAAAAAAAGUGGUUAAGCCAUCACAAGCAGAGCAGCUGGUGUUUUAAAUUGAUUCCCUCUAUCAAUUAUUUAAUUUAUGGUGACUCUGGUGGGGAGCUCUGAGAAACAAGAAUUUGCAAGAUUUUAAAGUAUCCAGUCUCACUAUUUUGAUUGCUCAUCUUCUCACUUUCUUAGUGCACCUUUAAAACUGAACUGAAUUUCUGAGGAAGUUGCUAACUAUCUUGUCUGCAUUCACACUCAUUUGGACAUCUUUCCACAGAAACGAGUUUAUUAGAUUAGAACAGUCUCAGAUUAUUACACUUCAAAAGGUAAUGAAAAUGCCUUUACUGCCAUAAUAUUGCAGUUACUGCUAUGUUGCUAUAAACUGUGUCUUCUUUCUGUGAAGAGACAGAAGUAUGAGCUUUGGAUCAGUAGCAGCACAGGUACUUUCUUUAACAAAUGUGAAAAUUAGUGCUGUGAAAUCUCCCAAAUCUGUAGUAUGUAACAGAUAAAUCCACUACAUCAGAAGCAAACUGAGCACAAAACCAGGCAUGCAGGGCAGCAGCAGCACAGUAGUCUUUAUACAAACAAUUGCACUAAUGAAAGCAAAACAAUAGUCUUAGUUAUCUACAAAAGGCCUGGUAAAUAGUGCCUUCAGGGGAUUUUCUAAUCAUAACAAUAAUAUUAAUUAUUUCCUAUGGCUAUGAAUAAAAUUUCAGUUUUCCUUUACUGAUUAAUGCAUUUAAACAGAAUAUUUUUACCUGUAUAUAUUACCAUUGCAAUCACCAUAAAAUAGAUUUGGAUAAACCAAAUACAACUGUACAAUUUUCAUGAAUUGGCAAAGACAGCACAGAAAAAGUACUGCAAUUCUUUGCAUGGCAACCAUGUAACCAAAGCAACAAAAAAAUGCAAUUGAAGAAUAAGAAAUAAGAAAUCUGAAUAAACUUUAGAAAAGUUGACAACAUUCUUUUGAAAGGUAAGAAACUAGCAUAGACUUGAAAGAAAAUGCUGAGAGUCCUUGGAUCACAUACUCCUGAUUUGCAUUAAAAAACAGUAUGUUGUCUGUUGUUAGGUGUGCUAUCUGGAUGUUGUCAUAAGUCACA